rnacentral:lncRNA from 1 species
ACCUGUUUUUUCUUCUUAUUCUUCUUCUUUUUUCUGUCCGCUUGAACUCCUGGUUGAAGCUCUGAAUCCGACCAUCUUCAAAUCUUGAUUCCGCUACCAAACAACAAUAGAAACGCCAAGAAAUCACAAACAAAAAGGAAAGAGAGAAAGACACAUCAUCUUAAAAAACAACAACAGAAGACCAAAGGGGUUUUGACCAACCCCAAAAACACCAAGAAACACAGCAGCUGGCUGCCAAAUAUUGAGAAGUGAGGAGGAGAAAAUCGACAUUAAAAAAAUGAGACGAAGAAGAAGUGAGGAGGAGUAUUUUCGGUGGUUAGAGAUUGAGAAGAAGAAGGAGAAAGAUUAGGGUUUUGAGAUGAUUAU